rnacentral:rRNA from 1 species
CAGCCGCCGCGGUAAUACGGAGGGUGCAAGCGUUAAUCGGAAUUACUGGGCGUAAAGCGCACGCAGGCGGUCUGACAAGUCAGAUGUGAAAUCCCCGGGCUUAACCUGGGAACUGCAUUUGAAACUGUCAGGCUGGAGUCUUGUAGAGGGGGGUAGAAUUCCAGGUGUAGCGGUGAAAUGCGUAGAGAUCUGGAGGAAUACCGAUGGCGAAGGCAGCCAUCUGGCCUAAUACUGACGCUGAGGUACGAAAGCAUGGGGAGCAAACAGGAUUAGAUACCCCUGUAGUCCCUGUCUCUUAUAC